GGGCCGCGGGAAUUGGAUUAACGCGAAGAACCUUACCAAGGCUUGACAUACCCGAGAACGGGCCAGAAAUGGUCAACUCUUUGGACACUCGUGAACAGGUGGUGCAUGGUUCUCGUCAGCUCGUGUCGUGAGAUGUUGGGUUAAGUCCCGCAACGAGCGCAACCCUCGUUCUAUGUUGCCAGCGCGUAAUGGCGGGAACUCAUAGGAGACUGCCGGGGUCAACUCGGAGGAAGGUGGGGAUGACGUCAAAUCAUCAUGCCCCUUAUGUCUUGGGCUUCACGCAUGCUACAAUGGCCGGUACAAAGGGCUGCAAUACCGUAAGGUGGAGCGAAUCCCAAAAAGCCGGUCUCAGUUCGGAUUGAGGUCUGCAACUCGACCUCAUGAAGUCGGAGUCGCUAGUAAUCGCAGAUCAGC
rnacentral:rRNA from 1 species